rnacentral:snRNA from 1 species
GCAUGUGAGGGUAAUUGGGUUGUAACACCUGUUCUUCCAUUGAUCACCAGGGUUGAUUCAGCAGAUCUGAUUGGCUAGAUAGAUGUGUCCUUCCUCCCUUACUGACCAUGUAUGUACCUCCAGAAGCUGUGCACUAAAACCAAGAUGACAACAUUUCCCAAUAGAGAAGUACCUUUCUCCCUUCAUGGAGAAGGACCAUUCUUAGGUUAGUAGUAGAGGAGUAGCUGACCAACCCCCACUAGAACCUCCAAAUAGAUUCUCAAGGUCUACUUGUAGGUGAAUAUAUGGUAGUCAAGAUUUAAAGACUCUAGAAG